rnacentral:rRNA from 1 species
GACGAACGCUGGCGGCGUGCUUAACACAUGCAAGUCGAACGGUAAGGCCCUUCGGGGUACACGAGUGGCGAACGGGUGAGUAACACGUGGGUGAUCUGCCCUGCACUUCGGGAUAAGCCUGGGAAACUGGGUCUAAUACCGGAUAGGACCACUGCCUGCAUGGGUGGUGGUGGAAAGCUUUUGCGGUGUGGGAUGGGCCCGCGGCCUAUCAGGUUGUUGGUGGGGUGAUGGCCUACCAAGGCGACGACGGGUAGCCGGCCUGAGAGGGUGACCGGCCUCACUGGGACUGAGAUACGGACCAGACUCCUACGGGAGGCAGCAGUGGGGAAUAUUGCACAAUGGGCGCAAGCCUGAUGCAGCGACGCCGCGUGAGGGAUGACGGCCUUCGGGUUGUAGACCUCUUUCAGCACCGACGAAGCGCAAGUGACGGUAGGUGCAGAAGAAGGACCGGCCAACUACGUGCCAGCCGCCGCAGUAA